UACGUAGGGUCCGAGCGUUGCUCGGAAUCACUGGGCGUAAAGGGCGCGUAGGCGGGGAGGUAAGUCGGGUGUGAAAUCCCUCGGCCCAACCGAGGAACUGCGCCCGAGACUGCUUCUCUUGAGUCCCGGAGAGGAAGGUGGAAUUCCCGGUGUAGCGGUGAAAUGUGUAGAGAUCGGGAGGAACACCGGUGGCGAAGGCGGCCUUCUGGACGGUGACUGACGCUGAGGCGCGAAAGCGUGGGGAGCAAACGGG
rnacentral:rRNA from 1 species